UGACUGUCAAUUUUAAUUAGAAAAUGAUUACAGUACUGUAAUCAGUGUAAUGGUUUGCAGUGGUAUAUUUGUGUACCUGUCUAGCAUUUUGUUUAAGAUAAGUUAGAAAGGUCAGUAUUUUAGUACGUCGGGGGAAGUUGAGUGCAGAAGAAGCACGAUAUGCAGAGUGAAAAAAGAGUUUUUAUGCAGCCUAAAUUGGUUAGGAGAAGGGAGCAAAGGUUAUCAGUGCAAGGAGCGAUUUAAAGACAGUGAGAAAUUGUUUUGGCAUUUGUUCGAUGCUAAAUAUGAUACUUUAUGUCCCGGAAUUAGAGGAAAAAUUGAGCAAGGGUUAUCCGUACGUGGUGAAAAGAUCGCGGAGAAACGGGAAGAAUUCAACUUUUUCAGAAAGUUGCUUAAUUGCUUCAAGCCGGUGAUUCCGGAACCGAUCAGUUUUUUUGAUCAUAUGGUCAGAAGUUUUUUGAGAGGAGCAGGACUGGAGAAAAGAGUCGUUUAUUUUGGAGUAGAAUCGCUAAGAUGGGUGACAACGUUUGGUCAUGCUAAAGGUCAAUUUGGUGAAAUUAUUGGUGUGCCGGGUUUGGGUGAUUUGGAGGCAUCUCAGUGGAUCCGUGAUGCGGAAUGUGUGUUGGUGCCGUUUUACACAAAGACUCAAUUUGGUUCACAUGGGAGUCUGGUUAUUGUGGGGGAAAAGGGGUGUCAUAAUUUUUGUUCUUCUGGGCUUUGCCAUAAAGAUGAGUGGGUGAAAUUUGUGAAAGUAUUAUUUGGUGAUAAUGUACUGAGCAACCCAAAAAUGGGAAAGUGGUUGAGAAUGGAACAGAUGGUGAAGGUGGAUGUUCAAAGUAUAUGAGUAUGCAUGGAGUAUGGCUGUGGAUUAGUGAUGCUUUACUUUAUUAAGCAGUUUUUGUUCCAUCUGACUGAUGGAGAGUUGGACGUGAGCAAUUAUGCAGAAGACGUGCGAAUGAAGUUUGUAAGCUUUUGUAACGAAAUCCAAAAAGCGGAAGAGAAAGGCCAUGAGAGAAAGCCAAAGCGAUUGUUAGGAAAAUUUAUUACUGGGUGUGGGCUUGGGCCUUUUAAGACUCGAUGGCAGACAAAAUAUUACAAAGCAGCGACGCUCAUUGAUGCAGCAGCGACGGAAUCCAAAAGAUUUUCUCAUUAUCCAAAAGCUUCACUUGGACUAAAGAUUUGUUUAUGGAGACAACUUCUACCUGGGUAUUAUUAAAAAGACCAUCUUCUGGACAGAUGUUUCUAACGAGGUAACAGUGGCAUCCUGCUUUUAACUUGAUUUCGUGAGGCGGAAUGUUCGGGCGAUUCAAAGAAUGGAAAAAAUCAAUAUCCAUGCCAUUUUGAAAUAUAUCUGUGGAUCAAACACGCGCUGUUUCAUAUUUAAAAUACAAUAGUUGAAAGCGUCCGGCUUACCUUUUGCUCCACAACUAUCGUCAAGAGUAUCACCACUAAAGAGCGGCACCGUUUCCCUUGUUAACUUUGGCAGAAGGUAACUAUUAAAGUGGUUUACAUCGGAGUUUUUAACAGACAAAACUGCAUUAUCUUUGGCACUUAGUUGACCAAGCUCCAUGUCGGGAAAUACAAAAUUUAAAAAUUGUGUGACAUCAGUAGUGACACUGAUAUUGCGCAGAGUAACCGUUCCGUCUUCGCCAUUUUCUGUUCCGUUACCGAUGCGGUCACAAAAUCUACACAUAUGUAUACUGUAGUUGGUUCUGUGUAUAUCAAAGCUUGCGGCUUGAAAUAUAUUGGCGUAAUUAUACUACUACAAGCUAA